rnacentral:rRNA from 1 species
AUGAACGCUGGCGGCGUGCCUAAUACCUGCAAGUCGAGCGAACGGACGAGAAGCUUGCUUCUCUGAUGUUAGCGGCGGACGGGUGAGUAACACGUGGAUAACCUACCUAUAAGACUGGGAUAACUUCGGGAAACCGGAGCUAAUACCGGAUGAUAUUUUGAACCGCAUGGUUCAAAAGUGAAAGACGGUCUUGCUGUCACUUAUAGAUGGAUCCGCGCUGCAUUAGCUAGUUGGUAAGGUAACGGCUUACCAAGGCAACGAUGCAUAGCCGACCUGAGAGGGUGAUCGGCCACACUGGAACUGAGACACGGUCCAGACUCCUACGGGAGGCAGCAGUAGGGAAUCUUCCGCAAUGGGCGAAAGCCUGACGGAGCAACGCCGCAUGAGUGAUGAAGGUCUUCGGAUCGUAAAACUCUGUUAUUAGGGAAGAACAUAUGUGUAAGUAACUGUGCACAUCUUGACGGUACCUAAUCAGAAAGCCACGGCUAACUACGUG